rnacentral:misc_RNA from 1 species
GAUGAAGAACGCAGCGAAAUGCGAUACGUAAUGUGAAUUGCAGAAUUCAGUGAAUCAUCGAGUCUUUGAACGCACAUUGCGCCCCCUGGUAUUCCGGGGGGCAUGCCUGUCCGAGCGUCAUUGCUGCCCUCAAGCACGGCUUGUGUGUUGGGCCUCCGUCCUCCUCCCGGGGGACGGGCCCGAAAGGCAGCGGCGGCACCGCGUCCGGUCCUCGAGCGUAUGGGGCUUCGUCACCCGCUCUUGUAGGCCCGGCCGGCGCUUGCCGACACAUCAAUCUUUUUUCCAGGUUGACCUCGGAUCAGGUAGGGAUACCCGCUGAACUUAAGCAUAUCAAUAAGGGAGG